rnacentral:rRNA from 1 species
UACAGAGGCCUCGAGCGUUAGGCGGAAUCACUGGGCUUAAAGGGCGCGUAGGCGGUGCGGUACGGUUUCGGUGAAAUCCCUCGGCCCAACCGAGGAACAGCCGGAGCUACGGCCGGACUAGACGGCAUCAGGGGACAGUGGAACUCCCGGUGGAGCGGUGAAAUGCGUAGAUAUCGGGAGGAACGCCGGUGGCGAAAGCGACUGUCUGGGGUGCCUGUGACGCUGAGGCGCGAAAGCCAGGGGAUCAAACGGG